rnacentral:hammerhead_ribozyme from 1 species
AUCCAGAUGACGAGACCCAAAUAGUUCGAAAUAUGCGUUAUCCUGGAU